rnacentral:rRNA from 1 species
ACAGCAGUAGCCGCGGUAAUACGGAGGGUGCAAGCGUUAAUCGGAAUUACUGGGCGUAAAGCGCACGCAGGCGGUCUGACAAGUCAGAUGUGAAAUCCCCGGGCUUAACCUGGGAACUGCAUUUGAAACUGUCAGGCUGGAGUCUUGUAGAGGGGGGUAGAAUUCCAGGUGUAGCGGUGAAAUGCGUAGAGAUCUGGAGGAAUACCGGUGGCGAAGGCGGCCCCCUGGACAAAGACUGACGCUCAGGUGCGAAAGCGUGGGGAGCAAACAGGAUUAGAUACCCCAGUAGUCCCUGUCUCUUAUAC